rnacentral:rRNA from 1 species
UACGAGUGCUCCAAGCGUUAUCCGGAAUCAUUGGGCGUAAAGGGUGUGUAGGUGGUUGUGUUAGUCUUCUGUCAAAUUCUUCGGCUUAACCGGGGGUCCGCAGAGGAAACGGCACAACUAGAGGAUGCGAGAGGUACAUGGAACUCAUGGAGUAGGGGUGAAAUCCGUUGAUAUCAUGGGGAACACCGAAAGCGAAGGCAAUGUACUGGCGCACUCCUGACACUGAGACACGAAAGCGUAGGUAGCGAAUGGG